GGGCCAAGCCGGAGGGUUGUAAAUCUGGAUUUUCAUUCAGAGUGAGGGGGCCACGGCGUCUGUGGGCAAAACUGGCCUUGUCUCUCGCCAAGAUAGCCAGGCCCCUGUGUGGAGGGGGCCCGAGUGGGCUGCUGGGGCCGGGGUGAGUCUGCCCGCACAGCCGCUGGUCUCCAGGCCGCAGAGGGACAGGCUCGAUUCCCACCCUGGCGCGUCCUGCGUCGGAAUGGGUCCGACACCCUCCGUGGGCCUCACAGAAGGUCACCCGGGCAAUUUGCCUGUGUCGGGGCUCUCUUCGAGGUUUGAAACGCCUGCGUGGCGAUACCUUCCUUGACAUAGAGAUGCACUUAGUACGCAGCCAAUGGACACUUUGCUGGGGUCAGCCGUGAGGAGGGACCAUCCCGGCCUGUGGGGUCUCAGGGAUGGCGGGAGAGGCCUGGGUCCUGCUCUGCCUCCCUCCUCCCCAAGGCCUCGGCCUCGGAGCCCGCUCCCCUCGGCCCGUCUGUCCGAGCCCCGUGUCUGAGCCCCGGUGAGCGGGGAGCGCUGGCCCUGCCUCCCCCAGCUCGUAACUCCAUAGCGGGCGACUGACGGGUCCCGAGCUCCCCCCAGGACAUCUGUGGGGACCUGAAAGCUCGACCUGCCGACCUCCUCCGCGUCCUUCCUCAAGGUCGGCUCCGAGACAGACCCCAGACCCUGCCUGUGGCCCCCGCCCCCAGAAAGACGCAGGGCACAUCCAACACGGCACGGGGCUGGCCGAGCGUCUGGGGCCGUGGGCGAGGCAGCGCCGCACCCUUCGCCCCGCGGCCUCUCCCUGGCCUUCUCUCGUCCUUGGUCUUCUCAUGAAUCCCGACCUUCAUCCUUCUCUUAUGAGAAAAAAAUAUAUGUACACAUAUCAGCUGUUCUAGCUUCUGUUCCCAGACCUGGCUAGCACACUCUUGUGGUGCCCAGCAGCACAGAAGGCCUUUCUUCCUAUCCGCGCUCCUCAGGGGGCAGCUUUGACUGUGACGAGCAAUUCCUACCGAACGAUGGGCGAGGAACGUCAAAAGUGGGCAGAUGACCAGGCUGCGUGUGCCGUGCUUGCGUGCACGCAUUUGUGUGUGCGUGUAUGCGUGUGCGACGUGUGUUUACACGUGUGUGCAUAAACAGCCAAUGUCCCGAGAAGUGUAAAAGGGACCACAUUUUGAAGCGGAAGUGAGUUUUCAGGCUCUUGAGAGGGUUUCAGAGCGGCGGUAACUCGUGUCGGGGGAGCGGCUGCCGGGUCGGAGAACGGAGGAAGCUUCCGACAAUUCACGUGGAGCAGCUGCCGCCGCCGCCGCCAUCUCUGGCAUGCACGCUGAGCUGGGUGGCCCCUGCAAAACACGCGUGCCACAGGUGGCUCUCCUUGGCGCCCGCCCCUGGGCCCCCAUGUGGUUCAAUGCCUGGGCGUUGGAGUCAGCACUGCCACGUUUUCCUCGUCUGUAAGCCGGGGGUGAUAAAUAUCCACCGAGGAGGUUGUACUCAGCGCUGACCUAGAGCGACAAGGUCUGCACGUUGCUCCGUGCAUGUCUGACUUCGGGCAGCGCUAAGGGAUGUCAACGGCAUGUGGCAGGUAAGUGCACGUGCUCUGGCCUUGGACUGCCUGGCUGUGUGAUCGCGACUAAAAUAAGUAACCUCUCUGUGCCUCGGCCGCUUACCCCAGAGUGAGUGAGUCAGUUUCUCCCUCGCGGUGGGACGUGACCGGUGUCAGGCACCUAGGGUGCGUCCUGCCGCAGGGAGUAAGCGCCGGAGAGAAUUAGUGGAAUGAUGUUAACCCCGGGAGCAAAGUCGGACUUCGCGGAAAACUGACUCGAGGAUGAGUGCCCACAGCUGGAAACCCUCAUUCCACGAUUGUCUUAUUUUCAAUUUGAUGACUUUUGAGCUAUUUUUUUCUGGUCACAAAUAAUUUCUGUGUAUUUUAUUUACAUAGCACUUGUCAGUUUAUUAUGGGGGUGCAGAGACAAGCGAGCUAUUUUAGGUCUAAACAGUAUUUUUGUUCUAAAGCAGUAAAGAGGGGAGGAUGAGCCUACCCCAAAGCCGAAAACCGGCUAGGCCGUGCGGGUUCCGGCUGGCCCUCCCGCCCUCGCCAGCGCGGCGUGGCAGGUGGACCCGGACGCCUUGCGAGUGCGGCUCUGGGCGCAUUUCAAGUACAAACCCGCCUCCCCGCUCAUCGAUCUUGGGAACGGUGUUUGGCCGCCCCCCAGCACAGGGGCCAGAUCCAAGUGCACUCUGUUCCCUGGGGUCGUGCUGUGAGCAAACCAGGCAGGCAGGGCGGGAGGGCGCUCCCCAGGGAGGUGAGGUCACCUGGGCGCAGGUACACCGGCUUCUUGCUUUAAGGGUGAAUGGCCGCAGCUGGCAGCGUCUCGUGACCUGAGGGACGGUGUUAAAGGAGGCCACUUCCAUUCUCGCUUUUGACAAAGGAAUGUACGUUUUGGAAUCUGGUUUCAGAUGCAACGUUAUUUCAGGACCAAAAAUAAAAAGAAAUCUGGGUGCAGACCAGGCCAACCUGGCAAGAGUUUAAAUGGAAUCUGACAUACAGAGUGAAGUUAAAUGUUUUGGGGAAGGCUUUAAGGUAAAGAUAUUUCCCUUUGAUUAUGUAAUUGUUUACCCAACUGCAUGGGGCAUAAAUAUGAGUUGCUGUUCUAUGUCUUGGGGGAGAGAAAUCCAAUUUGAUCUCUUUUCAUGCAGCAUGUUCAUUUUCACAGGAAGAUUCAAUUAUUCCCCCACUUACAAGGCUAUAAAUGAGUUUGCUGGGCCGGUUCCUGACACAGGCUCGCUCAUCAUUAUUCAGAUUAGUUUUCACUUUUCUAAACUGGUCUUCUGCCUACUGCUCCUGGAGCCCGGCCAGCAUUUCGGAAGAGGAUUAAAUAAUCCUUCUCUCACAACUUCCUACAUGUUGUGCUAUUUUGUUCUUCCCCAAAUGUCACCCUCUGCUCACACGCGCGUUUCCUGUGGGUGAGGCUUUCGAAUGUCCCCGCGGCUGGCUUCUCCCUGGACGGUCAGGCCGCAGCGGGUCGGCCCGGCUAGAGGCAGAGGUUUUCCUGAACUCGAGCCCAGGGCCGUUUCCAGCCCCUGCAGGCGGAAGCAGUGUUUACACAGGCGUGGGUGGGCUGUGCUUUGUCAGAGAGUCCAUGGGAGGAAAUCCCCGGGUCAGAGAGACACAAUGAGGACACCUGGAACAGAGCGGGCGGCUUAGGCAGCUAAAGGGAACCUGUUGCAGGUUUGCACAGGGGUGGCUAUUUAGGCUGCUAUCUCCCUCCACUCCGCUAGUAACAAACUCACCCUAAAGUACUUCAGAAGCCUCCAAAGUGCGCGGAGGACUGGGGGUGGAAACGGGAAGGACGGCAUGGACUCUGCACUGGGUGUGGCGCAUGCGUAAGGCAAUUACACCUGCACGGAGAAGUCGGAUAACCUUUCCCAUUCCCCUUCCACCCCAUGAAGUGGAAUCUUCCUAUCUCCACUUUCCCCACCUGGCUCAAGCAAUCCAGGCAAAUUCCAGCCCAUUAGACUCGUAACAGUGUCUCCCGGGACUUGGCUUUUAGCAUCGCUGAGCCAACUAGGCUGCCGGGUGAGCCCCUCCUUGAGCGUGUGAGUGUGGGGGCGUCUUCCCGCUUCUUCCCCUCACUCACAUUUUCCAAAUCCGUCUUCGGGGUACAAAUCCCUGGGUAUCCCCGCUUCUCACUCUGGCCCUGGGCUCGAGCGGCACAUGGUCAUCACCUGGGGAACUCCGAGCUCCUGUCAGAGCCCAGCCUGGCCCCCAGGGAUGCCCAAGGCAGCGGGGUCAGAUGCUUCUCAGGAGGUGCUGGGAUUCAGAACAGGCGAGCCGAUGUGCAGCUCAACCCUUGGCCGCUUUUGUCCUCAGCGUUCAAAGACUCAAAGGAUCCAGAGAAGGGGCCGGGGACUUUUGUGAAUAUGGACAACCAAACAGAUACGUUGCAGGACAGCAGCUGACAUGGCAGAGGCAGGGAGGCUAUCCGGAGGAAAGAAAAGAAGCUCAGAUUUGGGUUUCUUAAGCUGAAGGCACCUGCAAGGCACCACAGAGGAGACGGCAGUGCACACUACAGAGUGGAUCGAUCGCAUUCACACGAUGCUGUGCAGCCGUCACCAUGGUUCCCAGAACCUGUUCGUCACCCCAAACAGACUCGGUGACCUUGGGGCAACAACCCCCGUGUCCUUUCCUCCUGCUCCCCGGUAAGUUCUAAUCUACUUUCUGUCUCUAGGAAUUUUCCUGUUCUAGGUAUUUUACGGAAGCGGGCUCAUCCGAUAUGUGACCUUUUGUGUCUGGCGUCCGUCGCUUGGCAUCACGCUGUCACGGCUGUCCACAGGGUAGCGUGCGUCAGAACGUCAUUGCUCUGCGUGAGUGGACGCUCUCCCAUCGCCGGGGGUGCCGCGGUUCUGUGUCUCCGCUCGCCCGGGGACGGACGCUCGGGCUGUGUCACCGUCGGGCCCUUGUGAAUGAGGCUGCGGCGAACGCUGGCAGGCAGGUGUCUGUCUGAGUCCCUGCUUUCAGCUCUUGUGGGGACAUACCUGGGGCUGCAUGGCUAGGCCUUACGGUAAUUCACGGUGAGCAUUUGGAGAAACCACUCCAAUCUGGAACCGCACAGAGACGGGGAUUCUGGAAAAUGUCAAGCCCAGCCGUGGGUGGGUGUGGCCGCUCCACGCUGACAGCGCAGUCCAGCAGCUCCUGGUCCAUUUGUCCGUGGCAGGUUUGAAAGUGGCCUGGUGAGGAGGCUUCUUCCCAACAAGCCCAGGAGCCUGGCUCCUCUGGGAUCUGGACGGGAGAAUACAAGGAACUGUGAUGGGCCGUCAUAUGGCAGGUAGUCAGAGACCACAGGGGUGCCACUAGGGCUCGCAAGAGUGCGCUUUGCCUUGAUUCUGAGUGGCGCCCCAGUUUUGGUCCCAGUGUCCUUGUAACAAACCAACUUGCCUUAAGGUCUCCUUCUC